GUCAGACUUGCCAACUGCAGCUUUAAGGUUCUUGCAGAGACCUUUAAGAGCAUCAAAGCACGUUUGAGUUCUGAGAAGACCCCCUGGGUUCUUGGAGGAACAUUGAGGUUCUUCAAGGAACUAUCCAAUUUUUACAGUGUAGCCUAUAUGUGUUGGCUUUGUUGCGUGCAUUAAGUGUGGCACGGUGCUCGCCUAUGACAGCAGAAAAACAGGGACUUUGACUAUGAACAGACACAUGACAUGAAGCAGACCAACAGAUAUUAGUGCUGAAUUCUUCUCUUUCUGCUGACGAAGAAACGAAUGUCCGCCAUGUUUUUUUUGUGCAUGCACAAUGCAUUUUUUGUCACGCAUCAUACAGGGUGUGAAUUGCCCAGCUGUGUGGCCAAGGCCAAUUGUACCAGGGGUGCAAAUAGUGACUCCGUUAUUGUAAUGAGGCCAGACAUGACUGUUCUUUGAUGGCAAAAUAUUGAAAAAAAAAUUCUGUUAAAGUCUAGACAACAAUGAUAUCACUGACCAAGGAGUUGAAAGAAUUCAAGAGGAAUUCCUGAAAAAAAGGCUGUACAGAGAAAGUCUUUCUCUUUAACAACCCGGUGUUGGAUGCUGAAGCCUUUGUGAUGGACAGUCACUUUGAAAUGUUGCCAAGUCUUGAUGAUGACAAAGAAACCGAUCAGGAACAAAAGCAGCCACCUGGCAAGGCUGCUCUAAAGGUAGGCUAUAGUAAACAUUGUAAAUUAUUGAUGUUCACACUAGUAUACUUCUAACAUUUACAUUUGCUCUGAAAUCUUAACUGAUCAGUACAUUUAGAUCGAAGAAUAGAAAGAUAGCCUGCACUUUUCUUUUUCCAGCACCCUUGUUUGAUGGAAGAGAUUGACCCAGAAAUAUCUGUCUGUAAUGGCAAGAUGUCCUACAGAUUUCAGGCGUCCACUGGGGGGACAUUUUACUGCAAAGCUACAGGAUUGAAGUUUGUACUGAGGAAACAAGCACAUGUAGAAUAUUGUGUGGUCCCUUAUGACACAAAUAUCAGGUCAUUGGACCAUUAUGAACCUGCAGGACCUCUAUUUGACAUUACAUGCUCCAAAAGAGAAAUGUGCCAACUUCAUCUGCCACACUGUGAAACUGAGGGUGAGUCACACAUCUACAUAUAGCUGUGUUUUAUGGUGUAUUUAUUUGCCAUUACUUAUGUUAUUGUUUAUUAUUUCAACUUUGUCAUCUAUGCCUGUUUCAUCAGCGGACGCUAUUGGAGACUUGGUCGUAAUGCACAGCUUUGCAAACGGCAAAAAGUUUCUUACAUCAAUAAAGUUUACCCAAACACAUGUAGCUGUUCGAAUCCAUGGGCUUUGUAAGUUUGGGAUAUUGCGUAAAAAACAAAGAAAACCAUCUUGCCGACCAUCUGGCCGUGUCCUUGGCCAAGUGCUUCUCUUCCUUGAUCCCUGCAUAACUGAUACUGAACACAGGCUUUGGGUGUUCAUGUUGUCUCGAAAUGUGCCUCUUGCUGAGGUAUAGUAGCUGGCUUCACUUGAUUUUCUAUCAAUUAAGUGGUUUUCAGACUGUUUGUAAUUAUCUCAUUUAACUGUUUGUAACUAUUUGUCACAGAUCCAAGAGCAACAGAAGGAGUAUGUUUUCAUCAAAACAAGCUCCAACUGUAUUUUAAGACGCAAUGGAAAGUACAAGUUGAUCACAGACUCAAAAAAGCCUGCAGUGCAGCCCAAGGUGAAUAAGCAAAGAUAAGCAAAAAUAAGCAAUUCUGGGAUAUUUUAAAAAGCCUGCCUUAUGUUUCAUGUUCUUCAUGUGUGCCUGUGUAUGUGAGUGCCAAAUAUAUGUUUCGUGUUGUGCGCCUUGUAGCAGUCAUUAAUGUAGAUAAUGCUGAUAAUGUAGUCUGUACCAAAAAUGUUUUUGGGAAUAAUGUAAAUAAGUUAUUGGGGCCUAUCGUGCACCUUGCGCAACAAUAUUUAAAUAAAGUUCAAGUAAUAGGCAAGUGCAGAUGCAUGUUGGUUAUAUACUCACACAUACUCUCAUAUACAGGUAAAACACAGGUUUUAGUAAAGCAAGUAGUGUUCUAGUGGAAUUCUGCAAGCAGAUUCCUUCAGAUGACUGUCAGAUGACAUUGACUGUCAAAAUACCGACAGGCUAUUUGAUGUUGUGUGCUGGCUCUUAAAGGGAAUGACAGAUGUCAUUCUCAUUGGUUUAAAAGAUAUGUUACCCCCAAAACACACCCAUGACUGAUUAAGAAACAUAAGAUCAACCCUUUUGCGCCCAGCAUUUGAUCACAAAAUCACACCAUUAAAUUAGUGAAUGUGGACUGGACACGCCUUAAAUGUCUUAAAACUUUUUGCCUCCGACCAGACGUUUCAAAUUGCCAACAUAAGGCCCAUUAUAUUAUUGGCUGGUUAUUAUGUUAUAAGCUGGGUUUUAAAAUAAAAUCAUGAAAAAUGUAAUAACUUAUAACUUUAUAUAAUAUGACCGCCGCUAGCCUAGAAACUUGAUGGGCAUGUAGCACCACUAGGCUGAUGAGGAAAAAGCUUGGUCAUGCAAUAAAAGCUUGGUCAUGCAAUUCAGAUUAAUAAGACCACUGUUGCAUCCAGCAGCCUUGUAGAGCUUCAUAACACUAAUAUUCUCUUUGUCCAGUUCCAAACUCUCUGCAAGUACCUCUAUUAUGUACAGAUUGGAAUGAAAUGGUUUAGAUAGUUCACAGAGGCUUGAUGUCAUAUCUAGAUAGACAUAUCUAGAUUGAGAUCAAUCAAUAAUUCUUGAUAAGAUUUCUGAUAGUAGAUAUUGAACCCCAGGCUGAUUACCAACAUCCUACCAUAUCAGACAUAGGCUGAACAGGGUUAGCUAGAAGCCCAGGAUCAGGCUGAGAUAGAACGCUAGAUUGAACAUCAGACAGAGGUUCGCAUUAGACAGAGGGCAUGGUUGGGGGGUCAAUUCUAAGGUAUGAGCUACACCAGGCGCGUAACUGAAGCAUUCUGUUUGCGACGCGUGAAAUCCAUUUUAAAAGACUGGUCAAUUUCUUUCGAACGUACGCGCCGCUAUCACGUCAGGUGUAGCUACUUCCAUUGAUUAAGGUGGCAGCUAAU